rnacentral:lncRNA from 1 species
CUGGGCAGCUUUCCUGGACCCGUUGGGCCAUGGCCGAGGCUGAGGUCUCCUGGAGACCCCUGCUGCAUUGGCUCUGAGGACUUCCCUAAAGCACCGGCUGCACUUUCUUCUCUUGCACUUUCUACCCUGCCCACCGCUAUGGUUCAAGCCAGCGAAAGCUGUGGGCAAGUUGCAAUUCUCAGAAUGCAGUUCACGACAUCCUGCCUGGCUUCCUCCUCCCUAGCUCAGCCACAGCAGCCCGAGUCGAGAGUCAUGGUCAAGAGCAUCUAGAGCUGCUCAGAGCGCUCUGUGCAGGGACCGGCUCCUGGGUCCCCUCUCUGGGCCCCUCCCUGCAGCAUGCCAUCGAGGUUGUGGGGUGGACUGUGGGAGGAAGAGGAAGCAGACAUCCUGAGAGUGGGGGCGUGGGGCAUGUGGGUUGUGAAACAAUAAGAGAAACUUCCAGAGCCAGCAAAGAAGAUUUUGUUUCUGGAAUUUGGAAUUCAAAGUUUUUCAGACUCAAUAUUUCUGAGACUAGAAGGCAAGAUAAAAAUCUAUGUCAUUCCACUGGUUUUCACCUUUGUGUUCUACCUUCUGAUUUGAAACAGAAGUUAUUAUCAGUCUGAUAUUGUUUCCUUUGCUAAAGUGUGGUUUCAUUUCGUAAAGAGCUGAGUGGGACGGCAGGGCUGAAUCAUAGGACGCGUCAGUGUGUGUGCCCUGCGCCACGAAGACAAGAACAAAAGGUCGGAUACCCUCGAUGCUCUGCUUGCAAAAGUGCUUCUUAAUCCUGAGGUUUUGCA